ACGAACGCUGGCGGCGUGCCUAAUACAUGCAAGUUGAGCGCUGAAGGUUGGUACUUGUACCGACUGGAUGAGCAGCGAACGGGUGAGUAACGCGUGGGGAAUCUGCCUUUGAGCGGGGGACAACAUUUGGAAACGAAUGCUAAUACCGCAUAAAAACUUUAAACACUAGUUUUAAGUUUGAAAGAUGCAAUUGCAUCACUCAAAGAUGAUCCCGCGUUGUAUUAGCUAGUUGGUGAGGUAAAGGCUCACCAAGGCGAUGAUACAUAGCCGACCUGAGAGGGUGAGCGGCCACAUUGGGACGGAGACACGGCCCAAACUCCUACGGGAGGCAGCAGUAGGGAAUCUUCGGCAAUGGACGAAAGUCUGACCGAGCAACGCCGCGGGAGUGAAGAAGGUUGUCGGAUCGUAAAACUCGGUUGGUAGAGAAGAACGUUGGUGAGAGUGGAAAGCUCAUCAAGUGACGGUAACUACACAGAAAGGGACGGCUAACUACGUG
rnacentral:rRNA from 1 species